GAUGAACGCUGGCGGCGUGCCUAAUACAUGCAAGUCGAGCGAACAGACGAGGAGCUUGCUCCUCUGACGUUAGCGGCGGACGGGUGAGUAACACGUGGAUAACCUACCUAUAAGACUGGGAUAACUUCGGGAAACCGGAGCUAAUACCGGAUAAUAUAUUGAACCGCAUGGUUCAAUAGUGAAAGACGGUUUUGCUGUCACUUAUAGAUGGAUCCGCGCCGCAUUAGCUAGUUGGUAAGGUAACGGCUUACCAAGGCAACGAUGCGUAGCCGACCUGAGAGGGUGAUCGGCCACACUGGAACUGAGACACGGUCCAGACUCCUACGGGAGGCAGCAGUAGGGAAUCUUCCGCAAUGGGCGAAAUCUUGACGGAGCAACGCCGCGUGAGUGAUGAAGGUCUUCGGAUCGUAAAACUCUGUUAUUAGGGAAGAACAAAUGUGUAAGUAACUAUGCACGUCUUGACGGUACCUAAUCAGAAAGCCACGGCUAACUACGUG
rnacentral:rRNA from 1 species